AACAAGUCAGACAAAAGAAAGGAUUAAUGCCGUCAAAGCAUUGUGAACCUGCGCUGACGGCAUAGACAUCCCAGAGACGUGAGGAAGCGUUUAUCUCGCUCACACCACCACCUCAGGUCACAGCACACGUUUUGGGUCAUUUGCAAACCAAACAUGCCCUUUCCCUCUCCGUGGCUAUCUACCCCAGGCGCCAUCAUUGGUGGCCCGUGCAACUCCAAGCCCAUUAAUCGUUACACUUUUCCCAAACGCCUUGCAGCUGCCCCUAUUGUGGCCAGGGAGGGGAGGGCUCCUUAGCCGAUUCUUUGAGCCUCCUGCUGUCGCUCGCAUCUCAGAUGGACUCACAAAGAGAGAAGUUUGGCUCCAACAAUUGCUGAAACCAUGACAUCGUGCUCUUCAUUUUGAUGAGAUUCUGGGAUUCCAUCGCACAAAAAACCCAAACAAUGGAAGAGAAUAAAAGACUUUCCGUCUGUUUAUGUUUAAUCAUCUUUUCAUCUGAAGCAUACAUAGAAAAGUUUAUCAACAACUUUUCUAGUUUGUUCAUUUUUGUGCAAGUUUAACAAAAAAAAAAAAAAAA